UUCACUAUCUCUUCGUUUAAUGCCGCGUUUUCCCUCCUCUUCUUCAGAUCUCUUUCUCUCUCCUUGGCGCGCUCCGUUUUCAACUAUAGUCAGUUCACUUUUAAAUCAGUGUCAUGGGGACUGUCGCUGAUGUUGCUCCGAUUAAGGACACUAAAGGAAGCUUAGUUAAUAAGAAGCCCACAGUUGUCUUUGUUUUAGGUGGGCCAGGUAGUGGCAAGGGUACUCAAUGUUCAAAUAUCAUUGAACACUUCGGGUACACUCAUCUUAGUGCUGGGGAUCUUCUCCGAGCAGAGAUCAAAUCUGGUUCAGAGAAUGGCACGAUGAUUCAAAACAUGAUUAAAGAAGGGAAAAUUGUUCCUUCCGAGGUCACCAUAAAGCUUCUUCAACGAGCAAUGGAGAAAAGUGGUAAUGACAAAUUUCUUAUUGAUGGAUUCCCUCGUAACGAAGAAAAUCGUGCUGCAUUUGAAGCUGUUACAGGCAUUGAACCAUCUGUUGUCCUGUUCUUUGAUUGUCUUGAGGAGGAGAUGGAGAGGCGCCUGUUGAGUAGGAAUGAGGGUAGAGUGGACGACAACAUUGAAACAAUUAGGAAGCGAUUCAAGGUUUUCUUGGAGUCUAGUAUUCCUGUGAUUCGUUACUAUGAAUCCAAAGGGAAAGUUCGGAAGAUUGACGCUACUAGGCCUGUUAAGGAGGUUUUUGAAUCUGUUAAAGCCAUUUUUGCUCCAAAAAGUAAACAGGUUCACUGAAGAUGAACUGCCCGGUAGUUCUGCGUUGAUAUCUCCUUUGAGUUCAUCUUUUCUGAAAAAUUUUAUUAUAUGUGUUUAUCGACGAGUUUUGUCUUAAUAACCCAAAGUGGAAAUGGUAUUGAUUUUGCUGGCUGCAUCAGAGUUGGAUGUUUAGGUUCUAUUCUAUACAAGGAGUUAACCAUAUUCUUAUUAUUGUUAUCGUACUUUAUUACUAAGUUUUGUCGUGUGCAUCUUACAAAAGAGGUCUCUGUCUCUAAAUUUUUCAUAUUGAGAUUGUAUCCGUUGAUUUAAAUAAUAAAGGCAAGCCUUGCUUCCAUUUAUCUUUUA